AGUGGGAGAAGGGGAAGGGAUUUGGAAGGGCUGUGUUCGAUCCUGGUAGACAGGCGGCAGCAGAAGGAGGUGAUCCUGCCAUGAUACACUGCUGAGCACUGUGACCGGUCCUGGGCCUCCAGUGCUACAGAGACAUGGGGAGAUGCCAUAAGUGAUGCUGUGAUGCUGCAGGUCCUGGAGCUCUGUGCUGGGAGGAGAGGCUGGGAGCUGUGGCUGCUCAAUGCAGAGACUCAGUGAGAUUCUGCCCGUGUCCAUAAAUCCCAUGGAGACUGGCUGCCCAAUGCUAGGACAGGAGGCAGUGGGCACAAACUAGCUUCAUCUGACCAUCAGGAAGCACUUCUGUGCUGGGCAGCUGCCAGAGCAUUGCCACAGGGACCCUACGAUUGUGGGUCUCUUCCUUGGGGAACUAAAGAAGCCACAUGGAUGUGGUGCUGGGUGUCCCUGCUGGAGCAAGGGUUUGAUCAGAUGGAUCCAGAGGUCCUUUCCAGCCUCAACCCAUCCGUGCUUUUGGGACUGUGUGUUUGCUUGCACUAAAGGUGGUUUAUAUUUUUAAGAGAUUAAGGGAAAGAGCUUCAAGCCCGUAGAGAGAUGUUAAUGUGUGAUUUAGGUGGGGCAGGAGAUUUCAUGGGGGAGCUGAGUGUUGGGGUUUGAGUUCCAUGCAAUACGUGUUAUGUGUGGUAGUUGAUAGUAGUAUGUCUGGACAUAAUUUGUGAUGGAAGGUUUUAUAUUCUCUUCCUUUUGUUUAUGAGCCUUUGUUUAUCAGCUCCUUACUGAUGUGUGUUUGCUUUCAGAGCCUUUCACGUAGAUUCCAAGUCCAGAAAUUAAAGCAGGAGUUUCUUCAGUGAGUUGGAUCUAAUCUUCCAUGGAGGAGCUUGCAUAACAGCUUUGUGCCAGUAGAAUUGCUGGGCUCUACCAGGUGUUAGUGAUUCAUGCUCCGGAAGAUUUGAUACGUGCUUAAUCAAAAAACACAAAGACGUUGUCAGAGUACAGGACCUGAGUUCAAAGGCCUGCCACGUAAAGUCCAGUGCGGAUACUUUGGGCAGCUAAUCAUACACAAACAGAAAGGGGCCAAAGGAGGAAAUGAGGUGAUGGGAGCUGUGCUGUUGGUCUUCUGGCACCUUGUCCUGAGUGAUGGCGUGUCCGAAGGGCAGAACUCCUGUGUGAUCUGAAUGUACCAGGUUGUCCUCAUGAAUACUCCAGUGGAGAAUGUCCAUGAUCUUCUUUGCUUGUGUGGUGCGGGUGAGAGAUGCUCUUCCCCUCUCAGCCUCCACAGACUUUCAUUUCAACCAGGACUUUCUGGAAUGCAGAAAGAAAUUGAAGGCAUUAUCCUCACUUCUGGCACGGUAUCCAAGUCGAGGCACAGCAAAAGGACGUGACCUGAGCAUACAGUGAGUUCCUACCUCAGCUG